AACGAACGCUGGCGGCAUGCCUAACACAUGCAAGUCGAACGAGACCUUCGGGUCUAGUGGCGCACGGGUGCGUAACGCGUGGGAACCUGCCCUUAGGUUCGGAAUAACUCCCCGAAAGGGGUGCUAAUACCGGAUAAUGUCUUCGGACCAAAGAUUUAUCGCCUUUGGAUGGGCCCGGGUUGGAUUAGCUAGUUGGUAGGGUAAAAGCCUACCAAGGCGACGAUCCAUAGCUGGUCUGAGAGGAUGAUCAGCCACACUGGGACUGGGACACGGCCCAGACUCCUACGGGAGGCAGCAGUGGGGAAUAUUGGACAAUGGGCGAAAGCCUGAUCCAGCAAUGCCGCGUGAGUGAUGAAGGCCUUAGGGUUGUAAAGCUCUUUUACCCGGGAUGAUAAUGACAGUACCGGGAGAAUAAGCUCCGGCUAACUCCGUG
rnacentral:rRNA from 1 species